UACGGGGGGAGCAAGCGUUGUUCGGAAUUACUGGGAGUAAAGGGCGUGUAGGCGGCCAUGUAAGUCGGGGGUGAAAUCCACUGGCUCAACCAGUGACGUGCCUUCGAACCUGCGUGGCUUGAGUAUGGCAGAGGGAAGCGGAAUUCCAGGUGUAGCGGUGAAAUGCGUAGAUAUCUGGAAGAACACCGGUGGCGUAGGCGGCUUCCUGGGCCAAUACUGACGCUGAUGCGCGAAAGCCAGGGGAGCAAACGGG
rnacentral:rRNA from 1 species